rnacentral:snRNA from 1 species
UUUCUUUCUGGCAGGGGAGACACCAUGAUCACUCAGGUGGUUUUCCCAGGGUGAGGCUCGCCCCUUGCACUCGGGGCGUGCUGACCCCUGCGAUUUCCCCACAUGCGGGAAACUCGACUGCAUAAUUUGUGGUAGUGGGGGACGCAAAUUCUUUCUUUCUUUC